GGGGUGUAGCUCAGUUGGUAGAGCGACGGUCUCCAAAACCGUAGGUCGUGAGUUCAAAUCUCACAGAUGGCACCA
rnacentral:tRNA from 1 species